rnacentral:rRNA from 1 species
GCUUACACAUGCAGUCGAGCGGUAAGGCCCUUUCGGGGGUACACGAGCGGCGAACGGGUGAGUAACACGUGGGUGACCUGCCCUCAGCUCUGGGAUAAGCCCGGGAAACUGGGUCUAAUACCGGAUAUGACUCCAUGACGCAUGUUGUGGGGUGGAAAGCCUUGUGCGGCUGAGGAUGGGCCCGCGGCCUAUCAGCUUGUUGGUGGGGUGAUGGCCUACCAAGGCGACGACGGGUAGCCGGCCUGAGAGGGCGACCGGCCACACUGGGACUGAGACACGGCCCAGACUCCUACGGGAGGCAGCAGUGGGGAAUCUUGCGCAAUGGGCGAAAGCCUGACGCAGCGACGCCGCGUGAGGGAUGACGGCCUUCGGGUUGUAAACCUCUUUCAGCUCCGACGAAGCGGAAGUGACGGUAGGAGCAGAAGAAGCACCGGCCAACUACGUGCCAGCAGCCGCGGUAAUACGUAGGGUGCAAGCGUUGUCCGGAAUUAUUGGGCGUAAAGAGCUCGUAGGCGGUCUGUCGCGUCGGCUGUGAAAACUCGGGGCUCAACUCCGAGCUUGCAGUCGAUACGGGCAGGCUAGAGUUCGGCAGGGGAGACUGGAAUUCCUGGUGUAGCGGUGAAAUGCGCAGAUAUCAGGAGGAACACCGGUGGCGAAGGCGGGUCUCUGGGCCGAUACUGACGCUGAGGAGCGAAAGCGUGGGGAGCGAACAGGAUUAGAUACCCUGGUAGUCCACGCCGUAAACGUUGGGCGCUAGGUGUUGGGAUCCCUUCCACGGGUUCCGUGCCGCAGCUAACGCAUUAAGCGCCCCGCCUGGGGAGUACGGCCGCAAGGCUAA